GCUAAUACCGGAUGUGCCGAGAGGUGAAAGAUUUAUUGCCUAGAGAUGAGCUCGCGUCUGAUUAGCUAGUAGGUGUGGUAAGAGCGCACCUAGGCGACGAUCAGUAGCUGGUCUGAGAGGAUGAUCAGCCACACUGGGACUGAGACACGGCCCAGACUCCUACGGGAGGCAGCAGUGGGGAAUUUUCCGCAAUGGGCGAAAGCCUGACGGAGCAAUACCGCGUGAGGGAGGAAGGCUCUUGGGUUGUAAACCUCUUUUCUCAGGGAAUAAGAUUGAAGGUACUUGAGGAAUAAGCAUCGGCUAACUCCGUGCCAGCAGCCGCGGUAAUACGGAGGAUGCAAGCGUUAUCCGGAAUGAUUGGGCGUAAAGCGUCCGCAGGUGGCACUGUAAGUCUGCUGUUAAAGAAUGAGGCUUAACCUCAUAAAAGCAGUGGAAACUACAGAGCUAGAGUGCGUUCGGGGCAGAAGGAAUUCCUGGUGUAGCGGUGAAAUGCGUAGAGAUCAGGAAGAACACCGGUGGCGAAGGCGUUCUGCUAGGCCGCAACUGACACUGAGGGACGAAAGCUAGGGGAGCGAAUGGGAUUAGAUACCCCCGGUUAAUAAAC
rnacentral:rRNA from 2 species